GUCUAUGGCUAUGCCACCCUGAACAAGCCUGAUCCCGUCUGAUCUCAGAAGCUAAGCAGGAUUGGGCCUGGUUUGUACUUGGAUGGGAGACCGCCUAGGAAGACCAGGUGCUGUAGGCA
rnacentral:rRNA from 1 species